rnacentral:pre_miRNA from 1 species
AGCUUUUCGAAUCUAUUCAGAGAUUUCGACAGAUACCAACCCAUCAGGGUUGGUUAGACUUCCAAGAUAAGUAAAGUU